rnacentral:rRNA from 1 species
GUCCCGCAAGGGCGGCUGCACAGGUGCUGCAUGGCUGUCGUCAGCUCGUGCCGUGAGGUGUUGGGUUAAGUCCCCUAACGAGCGCAACCCCUGGGGUCCGUUACAAGUGGUGUCGGGCCCGACUGCCGCGCGCAACGCGGAGGAAGGCGGGGAUGACGUCAAGUCAGCACGGCCCUUACGUCCAGGGCGACACACACGCUACAAUGGCCGGUACAGU